rnacentral:tRNA from 1 species
GCGCGGGUCGCCUAGCGGCUAUGGCGCCUGUCCUACACACAGGUUACAACCGUGGGUUCGAGUCCCACCCUGCGUA